UUCGUUCAUCGUUCUUCCAAGAUCAAGCCCCGACGGCCCUUGAAGAAAGUGUUCUUCAUUCCUCGUUCAUCGUUCUUCCAAGAUCAAGCCCCGACGGCCCUUGGAUCAACAAUCACCAACUCAAGAUCAAGCCCCAACGGCCCUUUGGAUCAACAAUCAUCCACCAAUUCAAGAUCAAGCCCCAAAGCCCCCUUGAAGAACUUCCACCAAUUCAAG
rnacentral:lncRNA from 1 species